rnacentral:rRNA from 1 species
UACGUAGGCAGCAAGCGUUGUUCGGAGUUACUGGGCGUAAAGGGUGCGUAAGCGGCUUUUUAAGUCUGGUGUGAAAUCUCCCGGCUCAACUGGGAGGGUGCGCCGGAUACUGAGGGGCUAGAGUGUGGGAGAGGAAAGUGGAAUUCCUGGUGUAGCGGUGAAAUGCGUAGAUAUCAGGAGGAACACCGGUGGUGUAAACGGCUUUCUGGACCAUAACUGACGCUGAGGCACGAAAGCGUGGGUAGCAAACAGG